rnacentral:tRNA from 1 species
CGGGGCGUGGUGUAACGGUAACACGAACGCUUUGGGAGCGUUUGUUCCGAGUUCGAAUCUCGGCGCCCCGA